rnacentral:rRNA from 1 species
UGACGGUACCUAACAAGAAAGCCACGGCUAACUACGUGCCAGCAGCCGCGGUAAAACGUAGGUGGCAAGCGUUGUCCGGAAUUACUGGGUGUAAAGGGAGCGCAGGCGGGUCGACAAGUUGGAAGUGAAAACUAUGGGCUCAACCCAUAGCCUGCUUUCAAAACUGCCGAUCUUGAGUACUGUAGAGGUAGAUGGAAUUCCCGGUGUAGCGGUGGAAUGCGUAGAUAUCGGGAGGAACACCAGUGGCGAAGGCGAUCUACUGGGCAGCAACUGACGCUGAGGCUCGAAAGCAUGGGUAGCAAACAGGAUUAGAUACCCUG